GGGGGCAUGGCUCAGGGGCAGAGCAUUUGACUGCAGAUCAAGAGGUCCCCGGUUCAAAUCCGGGUGCCCCCU
rfam:Pelecanus crispus contig71887, whole genome shotgun sequence.